ensembl:ncRNA lncRNA:let7C let-7 Complex
AUUUGCAAACGUAUCGUUGCACACGGCGGUUCGCGAAUCGCGCUUCCUCUUCCCGCUGCAGCUGUGUGCGUGUUGUGGUGUACUCGUAUUGGCAGCGCGUAUGUGUGUGCGUAACUACACUGCAAAUUGUGACGGAUUCUUGUGUUCCUCAGGGGGAAAUAACUUGCGUUUGACAGGUGCGAUCUAGUGUGCCGUCUCAAAAAUGAAAAAAAACGAUGUCUGGUUGCAUUCUCUAUUUGCGCCACUGAUUAUCCCAAACUUAUGUGACAACAAUCAGCAAAUAGUCAAAAGCAAAACAGUAAUUGAGGUGGUAAUAACGAAUGAAUUAAAUAUUUAAUAGUUUUUCCAGUUCCCUUAUCAAAUUCAAUUCAAUUUAUAAAAUCAAAUUUUAUCUAAUCAUUUAAAGAAUUAAAUCAUAUUGUUUUAAUAAUAUUUCGUUUUUGGAAUUGACUUUCCUUAAUCCUCGGAAAAGCUAAAUAAUAUAAGUUUACCCAAAACUAUUCUUGUUGUAAUCAAUUGGAUUUCCUUUCAGAUUCGGACAACAGAGCUUGCCCUAAUGAAAGAUCUGAAUUUAAGGUAACUAUGGUUCAACAUUUUAUUGUUAGAAAUAUAUUAAACUAUUCCUUUUAUAUUACAGUUGACUCAGAGGAUUCCCUAUCUAUUGUUCUUUCGGAAUUUCACAACUUCACCUAAUGGAUAAAAGCGUUUCCUCAUACAAAAGGGGUUGCUUUUCGAUUCAUCGAGACACAUUGAAGUUCACGACCGCCCUAAUGAUUUCUUAUAACUUGAAAUGGUGCAUACUUACAUAUGGACCAUUAACAGAAACCCGUAAAUCCGAACUUGUGCUGUUUUAUAUCUGUUACAAGACCGGCAUUAUGGGAGUCUGUCAAUGCAAACAACUGGUUUUUGGCAACAAAAUCAAUGACAAAUCGAAAAAUCGACAAAUGGCGGAGUAAGGAUAAAAAGUCGAGUCAAAAACGGAUUAAUACGAAAUAAAUAACUACUAAAAUAACUAAAUAGAAGAUCAACAGCGAUCCAUUAAACAAACUAUAACAAUAAUAUGUAAUAUGAAAACCAUCGAUAAUAAAUCGUAAAACUAAAUUAAACUAAAUAUCCAACGUCAUAUAAAUACAACUCAAAACGUCAUAAUAAGAAAACUGAUAUGGUAUAACAAACUCAAGUUUAAGUUUGAAUAACACAACAAAGUAAUUUACUUAAAUACUCAUCUUAUGUAUAUUUUAUUUAACAUUCAAAUGUAACCUUCAAAAGCAUUUUUAAUAUGAUUUCUCCGUAUUAUUUUUCUUCUUGUUUGCCAUCAUCGUUUCAACCAAAAACCGAACCAAUGAUAUCCAGAAGAUCCUUUAAAUACCAAACCACCUAGCAAAAAGGACUACACCAAGGACCUUUUUCUCUCUGGCAAAUUGAGGUAGUAGGUUGUAUAGUAGUAAUUACACAUCAUACUAUACAAUGUGCUAGCUUUCUUUGCUUGACUACAAGCCGCAUUUGAUAAAAGAAUCCCAAUCGAACUGCACCACUUAAUAAACCCAAUCCCCAGCCAUACAAAAGUUGGUGGUGCAACAAAUUUUGAUUGUGGACAACAAAGAAAGUGUUCUGAGCCAAACUAUUGUUAAAUAUCAUUACGAAUGCCAAAGUAUGUAAAUGCAACCGGGCAUAUGUAAAUAUUGGCAUUGGUGACAUGUGCAAAUGUUUGUAUGGCUGAUUCCCUGAGACCCUAACUUGUGACUUUUAAUACCAGUUUCACAAGUUUUGAUCUCCGGUAUUGGACGCAAACUUGCUGAUGUUAGUAAAAAAUAAGGCAAAAACGAAUUCCCUUUCAAGGCACAAGUAUCGGCAAUUCAGAGAAGUUCUCCAGAAGAAAUAUGCCGUUCUACUGCCUAUGAUUGAUUGGAUAUUGGAUUGGAUUUACUGACCCCUUCAUUAGAUGGUUUCUCAAACUAAAGAUAUCUAAGAGUGUGUGUGCUAAAAAUAGAUCUACAACAGAGGCCAGAAGUAUUUUGAACCUACUUUAGGUACAUUUUGACUGCAAAGGAAGGAGAAGUUGCAGUUUGAUUUUCAAAAAAUGGCUAACAAAUUCUCGAAACUUACGAUCAUAUUUAACUAUGCAAAAGUGAAGUUAAAAUAUUUUUGGCCCUUAUUGUGAUUAGUUUUUAAAAUGAAAAAGUAAUCGAUCUUUAAAAAUGUAACAAAAGAUUGCAUUACUUAAAUGUUAAAAGUUCUUACAAAAAAGCCCAUUUCCAGAUAAUAGUAAUUAUUUUAAUUAUUUCCUUUUAAAAAAACAUUUAUUGUUAGGCCAAUGAUUUUGUAUAUCAAAACUAUCACUGAAACCACAUAUUAAACUAUACAUGAUUUAAAUGUAUUUAAACUACAAGCUACUUCUAAGUUCUAGAGAUACAAUGUGAGAGAGAUUUGAAUAAAUCGAUAAAAGUUA